GGUUUCCGCUAGUGGUUGCCAUUUUCGCAUUUUGCAAAAUAAAUGAAAAAUAUGACGAUGACAGAUUUUAGCAAAAUAUUUUUUUUUACAGUUUGUAGUCAUUCUUGCUAAUAUUCUUUUCGGGUUUCACGGACUUUUCCCUGAUCAGACAAGACUAGUAUUUUAACUUGAACAUUUUACGCUUAACUAUUUUGACAAAACAUCAAUAAUUAGGUGACUGUACUUAAAUAUAACUUUCGAAAACAAUAAAUUAAUACGUAAAGGUAUUGCUUAAACUCUUUAAUGAAGUAAUAUUGUUAAGUGGGCCUCACAUGUCACAUAAAGGACUUGUUUUACAGCUUUUAUAGAAAUAUUUGUUUUUAGGGGAUUU
rnacentral:lncRNA from 1 species